GGGAGCUAAGGUGAGGCCGAAAGGCGUAGCCGAUGCACAGACGGUAGAGAUUCCGUCACCACCAAAAGAGUUAAGCACAGGGACACAUUUGAAGUCUCAGAGCCGGGUGUUGGUUCCGGUAGAGAUCGAGGGAAGUUAGUACCGAAGUUUGAGAUGGAAGAUGGCGAGAAAAGCUGUGUGUAUUUCUGAGGUGCCCGUACCGCAAACCGACACAGGUAGGUAGGAAGAAGAUUCUAAGGCCAACGGGAGAAGGGUUGUUAAGGAACUCGGCAAAUUGACCCCGUAACUUCGGGAGAAGGGGUGCUCCAGAGAUGGAGCCGCAGAGAAUCGGCCCAAGCAACUGUUUACCAAAAACACAGGUUUGUGCUAAAUCGAAAGAUGACGUAUACGAGCUGACGCCUGCCCGGUGCUGGAAGGUUAAGAGGAGAUGUGCAAGCAUUGAAUCGAAGCCCCAGUGAACGGCGGCCGUAACUAUAACGGUCCUAAGGUAGCGAAAUUCCUUGUCAGGUAAGUUCUGACCCGCACGAAUGGCGUAACGAUUUGGGCACUGUCUCAACAGCCCGCCCGGCGAAAUUGUAGUACCGGUGAAGAUGCCGGUUACCCGCGACAAGACGGAAAGACCCCAUGGAGCUUUACUGUAGCCUAAUAUUGGGUUUCGAUGUUGCAUGCACAGGAUAGAUGGGACACUGGGAAACAAUCGCUUUGGCGGUUGCGGAGUGGCCGUUGGGAUACCAUCCUUGCGAUAUUGGAAUUCUAACCUGCGGCUCUGAAUCGAGUCGGGGGACAUUGUUAGGUGGGCAGUUUGACUGGGGCGGUCGCCUCCUAAAAAGUAACGGAGGCGUUCAAAGGUUCGCUCAGCUUGAACGGAAAUCAAGCAAAAGAGUGCAAACGCAGAAGCGAGCCUAACUGCGAGACUGACGGGUCGAGCAGUAACGAAAGUUGGAGUUAGUGAUCCGGUGGUAUGUGAGUGGAAAUGCCAUCGCUCAACGGAUAAAAGUUACCCUGGGGAUAACAGGCUGAUCUCCCCCAAGAGUCCACAUCGACGGGGAGGUU
rnacentral:rRNA from 1 species